rnacentral:rRNA from 1 species
UACGUAGGGUGCAAGCGUUGUCCGGAAUUAUUGGGCGUAAAGAGCUCGUAGGCGGUUUGUCGCGUCUGCUGUGAAAACGCGAGGCUCAACCUCGCGCCUGCAGUGGGUACGGGCAGACUAGAGUGCGGUAGGGGUGACUGGAAUUCCUGGUGUAGCGGUGGAAUGCGCAGAUAUCAGGAGGAACACCGAUGGCGAAGGCAGCACUCUGGGACGGUACUGACGCUGAGACGCGAAAGCGUGGGGAGCAAACAGG